GUGGCUGUAGCUCAGUGGUAGAGCAUGUGUUUAGCAUGCAUGAGGUCCUGGGUUCAAUCUCCAGUACUUACA
rnacentral:tRNA from 1 species